ACGAACGCUGGCGGCGUGCUUAACACAUGCAAGUCGAACGGAAAGGCCCUGCUUUUGUGGGGUGCUCGCGUGGCGAACGGGUGAGUAACACGUGAGUAACCUGCCCUUGACUUUGGGAUAACUUCAGGAAACUGGGGCUAAUACCGGAUAGGAGCUCCUGCUGCAUGGUGGGGGUUGGAAAGUUUCGGCGGUUGGGGGUGGACUCGCGGCUUAUCAGCUUGUUGGUGGGGUAGUGGCUUACCAAGGCUUUGACGGGUAGCCGGCCUGAGAGGGUGACCGGCCACAUUGGGACUGAGAUACGGCCCAGACUCCUACGGGAGGCAGCAGUGGGGAAUAUUGCACAAUGGGCGGAAGCCUGAUGCAGCAACGCCGCGUGCGGGAUGACGGCCUUCGGGUUGUAAACCGCUUUCGCCUGUGACGAAGCGUGAGUGACGGUAAUGGGUAAAGAAGCACCGGCUAACUACGUG
rnacentral:rRNA from 1 species